AUCUAGUUGAUGAGUCUCAGACGGGACGAAAUGUACGUCCUAGAU
rnacentral:hammerhead_ribozyme from 1 species